CGUGAGUAGUUCAGAGUUUGAUCCUGGCUCAGGAUGAACGCUGGCGGCGUGCUUAACACAUGCAAGUCGAACGAAGCACUUAAGUUGAUCUCUUCGGGGUGAUUCUUAAGUGACUUAGUGGCGGACGGGUGAGUAACGCGUGGGUAACCUGCCUCGUACAGGGGGAUGACAGUUAGAAAUGACUGCUAAUACCGCAUUAACCCGCUAAGGUCGCAUGACCUAGACGGAAAAGAUUUAUCGGUACGAGAUGGACCCGCGUCUGAUUAGCUAGUUGGUGAGGUAACGGCUCACCAAGGCGACGAUCAGUAGCCGGCCUGAGAGGGUGAACGGCCACAUUGGGACUGAGACACGGCCCAA
rnacentral:rRNA from 1 species